rnacentral:rRNA from 1 species
UACGUAGGGUGCGAGCGUUGCCCGGAUUUAUUGGGCGUAAAGAGCUCGUAGGCGGCUUGUCGCGUCGAAUGUGAAAACUCGGGGCUCAACUCCGAGCUUGCAUUCGAUACGGGCAGGCUAGAGUUCGGUAGGGGAGACUGGAAUUCCUGGUGUAGCGGUGAAAUGCGCAGAUAUCAGGAGGAACACCGGUGGCGAAGGCGGGUCUCUGGGCCGAUACUGACGCUGAGGAGCGAAAGCGUGGGGAGCGAACAGG